rnacentral:lncRNA from 1 species
UAUCCACUAACCAAGUGUCUCCUAGAGACCACUUUAUCUUUUGAUACCAUAUGCCACAACCAACUCGAAUUCGUUCCUACAACGAACUUACACGGACACUCCGUUCGUGAAUCCAAGCCAAACUCAUCAGCAAAGUUAUUGGCUAAACCGCUCAUCUCGAUUUCCACAACCAACUCGAAUUCGUUCCUACAACGAACUUACACGGACACUCCGUUCGUGAAUCCAAGCCAAACUCAUCAGCAAAGUUAUUGGCUAAACCGCUCAUCUCGAUUUCCACAGGUAGACCACAGAUCACCGAUCCUACGUAGGCCUACCGCCUAAACCUGUCGCAACUAUGCACAGCAUCUCUCGCUCACAAGCGUAGACUCAAUCAUCACUG